GGACACAUACAGUAAUUGAUGGAUAGGAGAUUGAGCUUGUAUCUAUGUGUUUAGGACAAGUUUGUGAUAUAUCAUUAGCCGCUAGAACAGUAGUUACUAGUGCUUGAUAUUACUACAUAUUAUGCUCUAUCAUUGCAAAAUUCAGGGGAAUUGUAUUAGGGAGUCAUUCUGGAGGGAAAAAAUUUUGUGUUUAGGCAUGCAGACAGAGCUGGCAAAUUGAUACAAUGUUAUCAUGUUACAGGUGCAGAUGAAUUAAAUUUCUCUGAGGAAAAAUUUCUAGGAUAUGGAAGGUGCAUGCUACUGCAUUUUAGUCUUGGUUUUCUUUUUUACCCCUGUGGUCAUGAUAAUAUGAGCUCAUUUUGAAGUUCCAGUGUCCAUAGAUUUUUAGAAAGAAAUGAGAUUCCUGAUCUUUUAAAAAAUUGGAUAUAUUCUUCCUGUUCAUGUAAACCAUCUCCAUACAUUUGAUUUCUGAAGCAUGGCAAGUGUAAUACUUUCCAAAUGUGUACCAUGCACGGAAAUAGAUGGCUGCCUUCCAUAUUUUUUUAUAUGAUUCGAUUCACCCAUUUGUUGAGCCAAACUCAUUAUGAAGUUUGAGGAACCUCAGGCUAAUAGGAAUUGAAUUCUCUACAAGUUUUGAAAAAGGAGUGGAUAUGUCCAGUCCAUUUAUAUGCCUGCAGCAUAUAACAUGAGAGAUAUACAUUCAAAGACAUUGUUUUAUUGAUAGUUAGCACAGUUAUAAAGUUAUACUAGAGGCUUCUAAUCUCUUUUGGAGAUGAUAUGAGCCUUACAAAUGAAAAUGCUUAUAAGGAUAUUGAAAAUGCUUCUCUUACCAACACCUUUUACAGAUUGUAUAAUUUAAUAAAUUAGACAUUAAUUAAACAUCCCAUUUUAUAUAAUUUAAUGGCAUAUAAUUUAUAUAAAUUAUAUCAAAAUGCUUAUAAGGAUAUUUGGUUCAUUGAUAAAUUAUAUAAUAAAAAUGCGAUGUUUAGUUAAUAAAUUAGAUAUUAAAUUAUUAUUUUAACUUUGAUGCUAUCAACCUCCUUUUUUUUCCAAUUCCGCAUUGAGUAUUGUCAUAUGGGAAGAUAAUUUUAUUUUAGAAAAAAUUAUAGCUAUAGUAGUGGUUUGAUAUUAUGUUUCCCUUUCGUUGAUGCUUGACUCAAACAUACAAGUACUACCAUGACUAAGUAUAAAAUUAAAAAUAUUUAGUCAUUUUUAGUAUUGCUAUUGCACAAUGUUGUUUUGUUCCAUUGAUUACUACAUUCCAAACACAAGAUAGGAUAAUGAUUCUAUCAUCAUCUUGGCACAUUGUCUACCAUCUUUGCACGUUGUUUUUUUCAACAUUUUACCGAACAUAAACAGAAAAAUUAAUGUCUUCUCUUGUGAUCUUGUCUUGUAUGUACUAAACACUAGACAGGAUAACUAUUUCUCUUGUCCCUUUGUCCAUUCCCAUGAAACAAAAGCAGCCUGUGAAUCUAUAAUCUCCCACAAUCCCCUCAUGCAGUGCACAUUUGUUAGGGGUUGAAUUUUAUUUUGGCAGUGUCUUUUUUACUGUAUUCAUUUUUGUUUAGCUCUUGCACUAGCUGGACUUUAUGAAGCUGUGGAAUUGAACAAUUUGAGCAAUUGAAAUCAUUACACUACGUUUUACUAUUGUUUCCUUAAUAUAAAAUGUGGGUUGUUUAUGUUGCUAUAAUGGCAAAUGAAACCAAAUGUGUAUUUGUGAAAAUUUGUUGUUUUGCACUUUUGCUGGAUCUUUUUCCCUUUUCUGAGAUCAAUGCAGUUGAUUUAUGAGUAAUAAUCUUUCCACUCUCAACAUUCAUCUAGGUUAGCUCUUUAUGCUAUAUCUAUGAAUUAUUAAUAUAGUCCUAAAUUGGUGUGUAGGAUGAAGAAGAGGUUGAAGAGGUGUAUGAGAUCACCCAUAGAGUAUACUUGGAUAUUGAUAUUGAUGAACAGCGUUUAGGUAGAAUUGUUAUUGGAUUAUAUGGCCAGGUUGUACCAAAAACUGUAGGUAUGUUCUCGGAGUCGUUCAAUAGCUGGAGCUUAUAUGUCUUGUUUAACUAACAUUUGCAGAAUGUUUGGAUUAUGGACAAUCUGCUGCGAACUUUUAAAUCCAAAAUUUGGAUUAUUGUUAGCAUUUUUAUCAUAAACUAUAUUAGCUUUCAUACAUUUACAUAUUUAAACAAGGUGACUUCAGUUCAAGCUUUUAAACAUGUAGUAAAUACACUCCAGCUAGGUGCUUCUUCUUCUAUAAAGAUAUCGUUGUAUCAACUUGUAUGAAAUAAGUUUGGACUUGAUGAGUAGUUCCUGCAAACCUCCAUGUAUAUAGACAUAACAUGCUUGAUGCUGCUAUAUUACUGCUUUUGACCAUGCAUGUUGCAAACUUCUACUUGCUCCUAUUGCUUUAUUGAUUUGAUGGUUAGUUUUCUUAGUGUAACUUACUGUCUCUCACUUGUGAGAUUAAGUAAUGCUAAAGUGAGGGUUUAGUUCACUGCACAAGUGUUUGAUAUUUCUUUGGUUUAACUAUAUUUUACUUGAUUGCCUAAUUCUCGAAUUUUAUUUUGCAGAAAAUUUCCGGGCUUUGUGCACUGGUACCAGAGAUCAUAUGUUUCAAUUAAUUUCUACUGUUGUAUAUCCUGGUGGUUCCAUAUGUUGGGGAUGGGACUAUUUUUAUAAUUAAUCUUGUUGACAUUGCUUUCUUCUUUUGCAGGGGGAAAGGGAAAAAGUAAAAGUGGGAAAGUUCUUCACUAUAAAGGAACACCACUUCAUCGUAUAGUAUCUGGGUUUAUGAUUCAAGGUGGUGACAUAGUUUAUGGUGAUGGGAGGGGGAGUGAUUCUAUAUAUGGCAACACUUUUGGUGAUGAAAAUUUUAAGAUAAAGCAUUCACAUGCAGGAUCGGAUUCCAAUGGCUCACAGUUCUUUAUCACCACUGUGAAGGCCAGCUGGUUGGAUGGAGAACACGUAGUAUUUGGUAAGGUUAUUCAGGGAAUGGAUACUGUUUAUGCAAUUGAAGGUGGGGCAGGGACCUACAGUGGCAAACCCAGAAAGAAAGUUGUUAUUGCUGACUGUGGAGAGGUACCCAAGGGCAAGUGGGACGAGGAAAGAUGAAGCUUCUCAUCAAGUUAACAAGUUUUUCCAUUUUGGGUUUGCUAAUUUAAAUCAUAGAUAAUUUACUUCUGUUGAUUUUGUAUAAUGGCCUUGAAUCUUCAUUUUUCCUGAUUUAGUUCCUAGGCUUUUUCCUGGAAAUGUUCUGUAUUUCCUUUUCUUUUCUUUCAUUUGUAGAGUUUCCAAAACACCCAAAUUUGGAUUACGAAUUGCUAAGUCAAAUAUUGUGUAUAAGUUAAAACACCCAAAUUUGUUUCUUAUUAUUUAUUUAUUUACUGUGACUAUUGC
rnacentral:misc_RNA from 1 species